CGUACACUCCUGCGGGAGGCAGCAGUGGGGAAUAUUGCACAAUGGGCGCAAGCCUGAUGCAGCGACGCCGCGUGGGGGAUGAAGGCCUUCGGGUUGUAAACUCCUUUCGCUAGGGACGAAGCUUUUUUGCGACGGUACCUAGAUAAGAAGCACCGGCUAACUACGUGCCAGCAGCCGCGGUAAUACGUAGGGUGCGAGCGUUGUCCGGAAUUACUGGGCGUAAAGGGCUCGUAGGUGGUUUGUCGCGUCGUCUGUGAAAUUCUGGGGCUUAACUCCGGGCGUGCAGGCGAUACGGGCAUAACUUGAGUGCUGUAGGGGUAACUGGAAUUCCUGGUGUAGCGGUGAAAUGCGCAGAUAUCAGGAGGAACACCGAUGGCGAAGGCAGGUUACUGGGCAGUUACUGACGCUGAGGAGCGAAAGCAUGGGUAGCGAACAGGAUUAGAUACCCUGGUAGUCCC
rnacentral:rRNA from 1 species